CACCGCGGUUAUACGAGUAGGCCCAAGUUGACAGGAUGCGGCGUAAAGAGUGGUUAGGAGAAUAAAACAUAAAACUAAAGUCGAAAGUCUACAAGACUGUAAUACGUUUCCGAAGAUACGAAGCCCCACCACGAAAGUGACUUUAACCCAAAUCUGAAUCCACGAAAGCUGAGGCA
rnacentral:rRNA from 1 species